rnacentral:rRNA from 1 species
UGCAAGUCGAGCGGGAUCCUGAUACUUCAAUUCUUCGGAAAAGAAGUGUUGGGUGAGAGCGGCGAACGGGUGAGUAAUAUAUGGGUAAUUUGCCUUGAAGCCCGGGAUAGCUACUCGAAAGGGCAGGUAAUACCGGAUGUGCUCGGGUGCUGCAUAGCACCUUAUGUGAAGGUGGGGAUCUUCGGACCUGCCACUUCAAGAUAAGCCCAUAUCCUAUCAGCUAGUUGGUGAGGUAAUGGCUCACCAAGGCAUCGACGGGUAGCUGGUCUGAGAGGAUGACCAGCCACACUGGAACUGAGACACGGUCCAGACUCCUACGGGAGGCAGCAGUGGGGAAUCUUGCGCAAUGGGCGAAAGCCUGACGCAGCGACGCCGCGUGGGUGAUGAAGGCCUUCGGGUUGUAAAGCCCUGUGGGGAGGAACGAACCGUACGGGGGCGAAUACCCUCCGUACCUGACGGUACCUCCUCAGCAAGCAUCGGCUAACUCUGUG